rnacentral:rRNA from 1 species
UGGGGAAUAUUGGACAAUGGGCGAAAGCCUGAUCCAGCCAUGCCGCGUGUGUGAAGAAGGUCUUCGGAUUGUAAAGCACUUUAAGUUGGGAGGAAGGGCAGUAAGCGAAUACCUUGCUGUUUUGACGUUACCGACAGAAUAAACACCGGCUAACUCUGUGCCAGCAGCCGCGGUAAUACAGAGGGUGCAAGCGUUAAUCGGAAUUACUGGGCGUAAAGCGCGCGUAGGUGGUUCGUUAAGUUGAAUGUGAAAGCCCCGGGCUCAACCUGGGAACUGCAUCCAAAACUGGCGAGCUAGAGUAGGGCAGAGGGUGGUGGAAUUUCCUGUGUAGCGGUGAAAUGCGUAGAUAUAGGAAGGAACACCAGUGGCGAAGGCGACCACCUGGGCUCAUACUGACACUGAGGUGCGAAAGCAUGGGGAGCAAACAGG